ensembl:lncRNA
CUGGUGAGGAGAACUAUCCCUCAGUCUGAUUCAGUAUCAGCAGGCCCAGGCCCUGGUGAGGAGAACUAUCCCUCAGUCUGAUUCAGUAUCAGCAGGCCCUGGCCCUGGUGAGGAGAACUAUCCCUCAGUCUGAUUCAGUAUCAGCAGGCCCUGGCCCUGGUGAGGAGAACUAUCCCUCAGUCUGAUUCAGUAUCAGCAGGCCCAGGCCCUGGUGAGGAGAACUAUCCCUCAGUCUGAUUCAGUAUAAACAGGCCCUGGCCCUGGUGAGGAGAACUAUCCCUCGGUCUGUUUCAGUAUCAGCAGGCCCAUGCCCUGGUGAGGAGAACUAUCCC